AGUGAACGCUGGCGGUAGGCCUAACACAUGCAAGUCGAACGGCAGCACAGUAAGAGCUUGCUCUUACGGGUGGCGAGUGGCGGACGGGUGAGGAAUACAUCGGAAUCUACUUUUUCGUGGGGGAUAACGUAGGGAAACUUACGCUAAUACCGCAUACGACCUACGGGUGAAAGCAGGGGAUCUUCGGACCUUGCGUGAUUGAAUGAGCCGAUGUCGGAUUAGCUAGUUGGCGGGGUAAAGGCCCACCAAGGCGACGAUUCGUAGCUGGUCUGAGAGGAUGAUCAGCCACACUGGAACUGAGACACGGUCCAGACUCCUACGGGAGGCAGCAGUGGGGAAUAUUGGACAAAGGGCGCAAGCCUGAUCCAGCCAUACCGCGUGGGUGAAGAAGGCCUUCGGGUUGUAAAGCCCUUUUGUUGGGAAAGAAAAGCAGCAGGUUAAUACCCCGCUGUUCUGACGGUACCCAAAGAAUAAGCACCGGCUAACUUCGUG
rnacentral:rRNA from 1 species